AGAAGGGGGUGAAGCAUGGCCUCGUGGCCACCCAAACCUGCAGAGAUAUUUUGUUCGUUUGAGUGUGAGAGAGAAAGCGAUGGCCUCAUCACCAUGUGAUUGCUGGCCCCAUUCUUCUUCUUCUUCUUCUUCUUCCAUUGAACAUGUCUGGAACGACAUCAAACUCGCCUCUCUCUCCAAUUCCUCCGUUGACUUAGACUUGAACAACAACAACCACUCUGUCUCCGUUUCUUCUUUCCUUAACCAACCUCUUUCCACUUUUCUCACUCUCACUUCUACUUCCUCUUCCUCCUCUGUCUUUCACAAACAUGACCACUCUCUUCUCUCUGUCUCCGACCCCAACACCCUGCAAGAUCAACGCCAUACGCGUGUGAUCAAGAAUCGAGAAUCCGCGGUUCGGUCCAGAGCCAGAAAACAGGCUUAUAGAAAAGGCUUGGAAGUUGAAAUUUCCCGUUUAACGGAAGAGAAUUCCAGACUAAAAAGACAAUUGAAAGAGUUGCAGCGCUGCUUGUGCUCCUCUCACACUCCCAGAAUGGCCGCUCCGUGUAGAACCUCUUCAUCUCCAUUUUGAGAAGGAAAGGAACCCGUGAAUAUGGCAUGACUCUUGCAUGUUUUCAACUUUCAAAUGUUUGUGAAAGAAACACAAGGAUUAUAAAUGGAUUGAAUUUUAAUAGGGUUUUUUUUUUGAGGAAGAGUUUUGAUAACCCUGGUUUUGUAGUUUUGACUAAGUUUGUCUAGUAGUUGGGAUUUGAGUAAUUAACAUGGAAUCUUAAAUUUAAGCUUCGUUACCAUUAUUGUAUAUAUUAAAAAAAAACUGGCUGCUUUCUGUUAUCAAGACUAAUAAAGUUAGAAUGUUUUCUUUAGAAAAAAAUAUAUAAUAGAUUCCUUGUUA